AAGCAGACAUUGGAACUAUUUACCUAUUUAGAAUAUUUAAUAAUUAUUGAUAACCUGGUUCCAUUCUACUGCAGUGCAUGCCAUGGCAUAGUCAGUGAGAAGUCAGGGUACCUCUGCAUGUCAACACUGCCACACACUGGACAUGCUGGAAGGAGCACAUGGUUUUUGUUAUGACUGGAAGUGAGUAAGCUCAGCUCAACAACAAUCCAGUUCUUCAAGCCAUGUACAGUGACAGAAGUCUAACCAUGUUCUGCACAAUAUGAUGUCAACCAUGGAUAUGAACAAUCUAUGCAAGCAGUGAUUUACAUUUAUCUUGCAACUCCGACGACCGAUCAAG